CGCCCGCCGCGCGCGGCGGGCCUACGGGAGGCAGCAGUGGGGAAUCUUCCGCAUGGACGAAAGUCUGACGGAGCAACGCCGCGUGAGUGAAGAAGGUUUUCGGAUCGUAAAACUCUGUUGUUAAGGACGAAUGUAUAGAUUGUGAAUAAUGGUUUAUAAUGACGGUACUUAACGAGGAAGCCCGGCUAACUACGUGCCAGCAGCCGCGGUAAUA
rnacentral:rRNA from 1 species